UUACGGGAGGCAGCAGUAGGGAAUCUUGGUCAAUGGGCGCAAGCCUGAACCAGCGAUGCCGCGUGUGUGAAGAAGGCCUUAGGGUUGUAAAGCACUUUCAGCAGUGAAGAAACGCCGGGAGCUAAUACCUCCACGGUCUUGACGUUAACUGCAGAAGAAGCACCGGCUAACUCCGUGCCAGCAGCCGCGGUAAUACGGAGGGUGCGAACGUUAAUCGGAAUUACUGGGCGUAAAGCGCGCGUAGGCGGUUUGAUAAGUGGGAUGUGAAAGCCCCGGGCUUAACCUGGGAACUGCAUUCCAAACUGUCAGGCUAGAGUAUGGUAGAGGGAGGUAGAAUUUCCUGUGUAGCGGUGAAAUGCGUAGAUAUAGGAAGGAAUACCGGUGGCGAAGGCGGCCUCCUGGACCAAUACUGACGCUGAGGUGCGAAAGCGUGGGGAGCAGACAGGAUUAGAUACCCUGGUAGUCCACGCCGUAAACGAUGAGAACUAGCCGUUGGGCCCCUUGAGGGUUUAGUGGCGCAGCUAACGCGAUAAGUUCUCCGCCUGGGGAGUACGGCCGCAAGGUUAAAACUCAAAUGAAUUGACGG
rnacentral:rRNA from 1 species